rnacentral:rRNA from 1 species
UACGUAGGGUGCAAGCGUUAAUCGGAAUUACUGGGCGUAAAGCGUGCGCAGGCGGUGAUGUAAGACAGUUGUGAAAUCCCCGGGCUCAACCUGGGAACUGCAUCUGUGACUGCAUCGCUGGAGUGCGGCAGAGGGGGAUGGAAUUCCGGCGUGUAGCAGUGAAAUGCGUAGAUAUGCGGAGGAACACCGAUGGCGAAGGCAAUCCCCUGGGCCUGCACUGACGCUCAUGCACGAAAGCGUGGGGAGC